rnacentral:rRNA from 1 species
GAUGAACGCUGGCGGCGUGCCUAAUACGUGCAAGUCGAGCGAACAGAUGAGGAGCUUGCUCCUCUGACGUUAGCGGCGGACGGGUGAGUAACACGUGGAUAACCUACCUAUAAGACUGGGAUAACUUCGGGAAACCGGAGCUAAUACCGGAUAAUAUAUUGAACCGCAUGGUUCAAUAGUGAAAUACGGUUUUGCUGUCACUUAUAGAUGGAUCCGCGCCGCAUUAGCUAGUUGGUAAGGUAACGGCUUACCAAGGCAACGAUGCGUAGCCGACCUGAGAGGGGGAUCGGCCACACUGGAACUGAGACACGGUCCAGACUCCUACGGGAGGCAGCAGUAGGGAAUCUUCCGCAAUGGGCGAAAGCCUGACGGAGCAACGCCGCGUGAGUGAUGAAGGUCUUCGGAUCGUAAAACUCUGUUAUUAGGGAAGAACAAAUGUGUAAGUAACUAUGCACGUCUUGACGGUACCUAAUCAGAAAGCCACGGCUAACUACGUG